AUUGAACGCUGGCGGCAUGCUUUACACAUGCAAGUCGAACGGUAACAGGCCGCAAGGUGCUGACGAGUGGCGAACGGGUGAGUAAUGCAUCGGAACGUGCCCAGUCGUGGGGGAUAACGCAGCGAAAGCUGCGCUAAUACCGCAUACGAUCUAUGGAUGAAAGCGGGGGACCGUAAGGCCUCGCGCGAUUGGAGCGGCCGAUGUCAGAUUAGGUAGUUGGUGGGGUAAAGGCUCACCAAGCCGACGAUCUGUAGCUGGUCUGAGAGGACGACCAGCCACACUGGGACUGAGACACGGCCCAGACUCCUACGGGAGGCAGUGGGGAAUUUUGGACAAUGGGGGCAACCCUGAUCCAGCAAUGCCGCGUGCAGGAAGAAGGCCUUCGGGUUGUAAACUGCUUUUGUACGGAACGAAACGGCUCUGGUUAAUACCUGGGGCUAAUGACGGUACCGUAAGAAUAAGCACCGGCUAACUACGUGCCAGCCGCCGCGGUAA
rnacentral:rRNA from 1 species